rnacentral:rRNA from 1 species
CGCGGCCUAUCAGCUUGUUGGUGGGGUAGUGGCUUACCAAGGCUUUGACGGGUAGCCGGCCUGAGAGGGUGACCGGCCACAUUGGGACUGAGAUACGGCCCAGACUCCUACGGGAGGCAGCAGUGGGGAAUAUUGCACAAUGGGCGGAAGCCUGAUGCAGCAACGCCGCGUGCGGGAUGACGGCCUUCGGGUUGUAAACCGCUUUCGCCUGUGACGAAGCGUGAGUGACGGUAAUGGGUAAAGAAGCACCGGCUAACUACGUGCCAGCAGCCGCGGUGACACGUAGGGUGCGAGCGUUGUCCGGAUUUAUUGGGCGUAAAGGGCUCGUAGGUGGUUGAUCGCGUCGGAAGUGUAAUCUUGGGGCUUAACCCUGAGCGUGCUUUCGAUACGGGUUGACUUGAGGAAGGUAGGGGAGAAUGGAAUUCCUGGUGGAGCGGUGGAAUGCGCAGAUAUCAGGAGGAACACCAGUGGCGAAGGCGGUUCUCUGGGCCUUUCCUGACGCUGAGGAGCGAAAGCGUGGGGAGCGAACAGGCUUAGAUACCCUGGUAGUCCGCGCUGUAAACGGUGGGUACUAGGUGUGGGGUCCAUUCCACGGGUUCCGUGCCGUAGCUAACGCUCUAAGUACCCCGCCUGGGGAGUACGG